UACGUAGGUGGCAAGCGUCGUCCGGAAUGACUGGGCGUAAAGGGUGCGUAGGCGGCCUGUCAAGUUAGAAGUGUAAUACCUGGGCUCAACUUAGGUGCUACUUCUAAGACUGAUGGGCUUGAGUGUGGGAGAGGUAAGUGGAAUUCCUAGUGUAGCGGUGGAAUGCGUAGAUAUUAGGAGGAACACCAGCGGCGAAGGCGGCUUACUGGACCAUAACUGACGCUGAGGCACGAAAGCGUGGGGAGCAAACAGG
rnacentral:rRNA from 1 species